rnacentral:snRNA from 1 species
AUAGUUUUCUUGAAUUCCUGGGGUUUGCUGAACCCAAUCAGAGACCAUCGAUAUUAAACUGAUUUUUAGAACGAGGCGAAGAGUUAGGGGCUUGCUCCGCCUUUGUCACGGGUUGGCCUGGUAUAUCAGUACUUCUAGGAUUCAGCCCAUCUCCC